AACGUGGAGACAGGUGGUGCAUGGCUGUCGUCAGCUCGUGUCGUGAGAUGUUGGGUUAAGUCCCGCAACGAGCGCAACCCUCACCCCUUGUUGCCACCAGGUCAGGCUGGGCACUCUAGGGGAACUGCCCCGGUCAACGGGGAGGAAGGUGGGGAUGACGUCAAGUCAUCAUGCCCCUUACGUCCUGGGCUACACACGUGCUACAAUGGCCGGUACAAAGGGAUGCAAGACUGCGAGGUGGAGCUAAACCCAAAAAGCCGGCCUAAGUUCAGAUUGGAGUCUGCAACUCGACUCCAUGAAGGAGGAAUCGCUAGUAAUCGCGCAUCAGCACGGCGCGGUGAAUACGUUCCCGGGCCUUGUACACACCGCCCGUCACACCACGAAAGCCAGCUGUACUCGAAGUCGCUGAG
rnacentral:rRNA from 1 species